UUCUGACAGUUUGUUAGCUGUCCCCCAAAAACUGAAUGCAAACCACAGUACACUGUGAAGACAGUGAAGCAUGGUGGAGCAAGGAUCAUGAUAUGGGGAUGUCUC